GUCUACAGCCAUACCAAGCUGAACCCAUCUGAUCUCAGAAUGAGACCUCAUUAGUGUUUGGAUGGGAGACCAACUAGGAAUAACCAGGUAGUGUGGGCU
rnacentral:rRNA from 1 species